UACGAAGGGUGCAAACGUUGCUCGGAAUUACUGGGCGUAAAGGGCUCGUAGGCGGCCAACUAAGUCAGACGUGAAAUCCCUCGGCUUAACCGGGGAACUGCGUCUGAUACUGGAUGGCUUGAGAUUGGGAGAGGGAUGCGGAAUUCCAGGUGUAGCGGUGAAAUGCGCAGAUAUCAGGAGGAACACCGAUGGCGAAGGCAGGUCACUGGGCCGCAACUGACGCUGAGGAGCGAAAGCAUGGGGAGCGAACAGG
rnacentral:rRNA from 1 species